CCUACGGGGGGCAGCAGUGAGGAAUAUUGGUCAAUGGACGAGAGUCUGAACCAGCCAAGUAGCGUGAAGGAUGACUGCCCUAUGGGUUGUAAACUUCUUUUAUAUGGGAAUAAAACAGGGUAUGCAUACCCUCUUGCAUGUACCAUAUGAAUAAGGAUCGGCUAACUCCGUGCCAGCAGCCGCGGUAAUACGGAGGAUCCGAGCGUUAUCCGGAUUUAGUGGGUUUAAAGGGAGCGUAGGUGGAUUGUUAAGUCAGUUGUGAAAGUUUGCGGCUCAACCGUAAAAUUGCAGUUGAAACUGGCAGUCUUGAGUACAGUAGAGGUGUGCGGAAUUCGUGGUGUAGCGGUGAAAUGCUUAGAUAUCACGAAGAACUCCGAUUGCGAAGGCAGCUCACUGGACUGCAACUGACACUGAUGCUCGAAAGUGUGGGUAUCAAACAGGAUUAGAUACCCUUGUAGUC
rnacentral:rRNA from 1 species